rnacentral:lncRNA from 1 species
GAUGAGGGAUGGAGGGGCCUUUCAGGCCAAGCAUGUUUUCCAUGAAACUAACCGGGCUGUGGACUGAGUGGCUGCUUAUAUAGCCAGUCACUCCGAUAGUACCCUAUAGGCUGGAGAUGGAGAGUUGCCCCAGUCGCUCAGAAGUAUUUUAUUUUUUGAUUUUAUUGGGUGCAUCCGUACUCGUCAGGUAUGAUCCACCCGCUUUUAGAAAAGGAAAAAAAAGGAAAAAAAAAGGUUUUCCAAGACAACAAUUACUACUCAAUGAUCCAGCUAUUCUUGUCUUGUAAUGCUUGUUUCCUUGCAUUGCUCCAAUAAAUAACUUUAUUCUCCGAUUCCAAUUAAAUGCAACCGAAUGUCUAACAUCUUAUCGUUUUUCCCGUAAAUAUAUGCGUGAUUGGAGGUAAUAACUGUUAUUUAAUCUCAUUAAAAACUAGAUUAUAGCAGUAUUUUUCAUUUUAUGAGUGGAG